GACCGCCAGCCCAGGCUCCUCUUGCCUUUAUUUAUUUUUCUGACACUGUACGGAGAUGGGCCCGGGGCAGGGGCCGCCGGGCUCAGGCGGGAGCCGCGAGGCCCGGGCCGCAGCUGUCUGCGUGCGGGAGCCGCAGCGGCCGCCUCCCCUCCCGGGCUGUGGACGCACCGGGUUAUUCCUGGCAGCGCCUCCCCGAACAGAAGUUACUAGGAGGAGUGCGCGGCGAGGGCGGACGGGGGGAGAGGCGGAGGGAGGGAGGGAGGAAGAGGGAGAGACUCAGCCAACGACGUCAUCGGAUCCCCCAGCGCGUCCCAGGGAGGGAGGCUGAACCAGAAAAACCAGUCUGGAGCCAGUGAGCGAGAGAGGGAUGUGCGGCGCGCGGGGCGACGGGGGAGGGAGGCGGUCGGGAGGGCAGGGCCGGGCCCCACGGCUGCCGCUGCGGGCGGGGAGAUCGCGGCCGCGCACUCGCUCGGUCGGAGCGGGGAACUCCCCGGAGAGCUGGUCUCUACUUGUCAUGCAAAAAAACUUGGGCAUCUCUAGGAGCCUGAGAAUUUCCUUUAAGGAUGUGGAAACGUCCUCCGUCCCCACCCCUUCCCCAUUUCCCAGAGAAUCGUUGUCUGCCUUCCUGACGAACGGAAUUGUAUAAUUAGUAGUGCCCUUAGAUUUGGAACCAGUACUCCGGAUCCCUGGCCUCUCCUCGCCCCCUGCCUCUACUCACAAUUAUGUUAUCGGUCAAGAAAAGCAAAAUCAGACUGUGGCUCCCGGCUGGGUUUCUGGAGCUUUGUAGGGUUUUACUAGCACUUUCCGUGCCCCUGCGGGCGCGCGAACUAUUCACGUGCUCGAAACGCCCGGAUUACCUUCCCUGAGGUCACUCACCAGGGUGCCCCCGGCACCCCCAGUUCGGGGACCGCGGCCCGCCCUCGCCAGGGGAUUCAAAUAGGUGUGGGCAGCGGCGCGAAGAGCAGCUGCCGGUUUCCUGGUGGGCCGCGCUGGAACCUCGGGGCGAGCUGCCACCUUCAGCCUGUGCGCUUCCCUCUCCACGGAAGGGACCGGAGUUGAAAUCACAACCAACCCUGGGAGAGCGGGGCCGGGAGGCGGGGGAAUCCCAGGCGAGUGGGAGCCGAAGCUCUGGGCUUCCUCCCCGGCCGGGCGACACCCGGGGGACACCGGGGCUCUCUCGGGCCGUUACCCUGCCUAUGUGGACUGGUGUGCACCCUCGGGGGAGGUUCCUAGGGUGCCACGGUGCCCGAGCGCGACGAGUGACUGCUGGGGAGGGGGGCCGGGUCCCGGAGCGCCUCCUCCGGGUGGUCUCCCCCCCAGCGGGGACCGCGCGCAGCACCUCGCGGGCGCCCCAGCCCCCGCACCCUGCGGAGCAGAGCCGAGCGCCCAGGACGCCGCGGGCCCCAGCGGUCCUCCCCACCCCCUGGCCGCGCCGCCGCCCUGCCCGGGGCGGAGUAAACAAGAGACGCGCAAGAUUUGACCUGGCGCGACCCGGCUUUCUGGCCGGGGUUCCCCCUGAGCAGGUGACUCCGUGGGAGGGGUGGAAAUGAGUCUCUGGAAUUCCGGGCCAAAGACAAUAACUGUGGUUCUGCUUUUAAAGCAGGUAUUUCACCAGCAACUGCGGAAUGUUUUGUGUCUCCAGUUUCAAAUUUCGCGGAAAGGGACCAAAUGUGAGGACAUAUAAAAUAUCCCCUUCUCUUUUCAUUAAAAAUGAGUGCAUUACAAAGGAAGGGCAGCCCCUUAAUGCCUGCGAGAAUAGCGCUGCUGGUUUCGUUUUUGUUUUGUUUUGUUUUGUUUUUCAUUCUGACCCACAAUCAGUGUAUUUUUGAGGUCCCUAUGCAAUGGCGACGGUGCCGUGAAGGGCAACUCAGCAAAAUAAAGCGGUGAUACAUUUUUUAACCGAUUUUUUUCUCAGAGGAGAAAAAUCUGAACAAUUUGGCCUAAGUUUCACUUUGUCCUUCUCUUAGGUUGAUCUCAUUUAAAUUCAGGGCCUACUUCCACUUAAGCAACUUCUUCUUUCAUUGUAUAGGUUCUUUAAUAUCCAACCUUUUUAAACUUAACUUGAAGCCUUUAAUUUAAAAAACUGUCCCAAUCAUCAUUUUCUUUUCAAUGUAUGCAGUUGCAUUUUAAACAUCCAUUUAACACACAAAAUGUGAUUUUUGAAAUUUUUUUCACUUUCAAACCCACCUGCUACAUACUCCCAGAGAGCGUUUUAUUUAAUUGCUUAAUAGAGAAGAUUAAGCAGUUUCUUUAAGAAUCCAAUUUCCCUUCAACAAGCACAACAGCAGCUGCCCAAGCUCCCAGAAACUAAGCAAAGGCAAGUAGCAGGCAGCGUUUUGCUUCACUAGAAUGAAUGUUAGUUGAAACCUUAAAUACCUCUUUAAAAGACUAGAUUAAAGAGAAUAAUGGGAAUAUUAAGAUACUCCGGUAGUUAGUUAAAAUAUUUUUUAAGGAAAACCAGGCAGAUAUACAUCUAUUUUGAUGAUUUGAUCCCACCUUCAAAGAGGAUCCCUGAAAAGAGUUUUAGUCACAAUUUGACAAAUUUUAAAUAAUUACUUUGUUUCAGAGUCAUGAGGAUGGAAAGAAGAUAGCCUGCGUUGAGUUGAAGUAAAGUAAAAAUAUUAUGAAUAUGUGUAACUAGGUGACAUCCUCUCUGCUGGGAAGAAUCCUUUUUUUUUUUUUUUUUUUUUUUCUGGUGACAGGUUCUUGCUCCAUCACCCAGGCUGGAGUGCAGUGGCAUGAUCUUGGCUCACUGCAGCCUCUCCCUUUCAGGCUCAAGCAAUCCUCCCACCUCAGCCUCCCGAGUGGAGGGGGAGCCACUGCAGAUCUGGAGCAAAUCAGCACCAGCCACUCCAGAGCCUGACCUACAUAGGACUCAGAAAGCAUUGUCUAUUGUGAUUGAUUAUUCCUGUGUUCAGUCCCAAUGGCCUAUUGAUUGGGGGUUUCUCUCCAAAAGGCUGCAUGGCUUUUCUUCUCUAAGUGAAUCUCCUUUAUAACCCAUAUUUUAUGUCUAUAUACCAAACAUGCUAUCCAUAUUUAGUCAAUGUCCAGUUGCUUGCAUGUAAGGGCAAUAGAGUAAUCAGAAAACUCUUCCCAGAAAGCCCCCGAAGACAAAACUAGUACUGGUAGAAAACUGGGCAUGCAGCUCUAAGAAACUCUAUGGGAAGUGAGGCUGGGUGGGGCACAGCUGCCCCAGCCUGGCACCCAUAUGGAGCAUCAGCAAGGAAGUAGGAACUUUCUUUUCAUCAUGCAUCCUUCUUAUCACUUCUCAGUUUCAAAGGGAAAGAAAAUUUGGUAAUCUGCAUUUUGAGACAUUAAGAAAAUAAAAUAAUUAAUGGCUUCAUGGUUAUAUGGCAUUUUUCAGAGUAUUGUCAGAAAAUCAUUUCGAACUGAAAUUUUCAUUCAAAAAUAUUUAUUGAAUGCCGGCUAUGUGCUGAAGAUUCUUAAGAUACAUCAGUGAACAAAUCAAAGUUCCCUGCUUUCUUGGAGCUUGCAUUCCAGCGGGAGGAGAGGAUUUGGAGGAAGAAUGGGAUAGACAAUAAAUCACAAGACCUCCUGCCACAGAGCAUGGGACCUGAUAUAUCCAGGCAGGAGAACUGGGUACCAGGAGACACUGUACAUGAAGUUUCCAGAACCAGCCAUGUCCAUCUUACUAAUCAAGACUCUCUCUGUUAAAUCUGCAACUCAAAUGACUUUAAGGAAAAAUGGAUUUCAUUGAUUCACAUAACCAUCACUCAAGGACUAACUUUCAACAUAGUGAGAUCCUGAGGCUCAAAUAUUAUUACCCGGGUUCCAUGAACUGCUUCCUCUGACAUGAGAUCUAACAAGGCUAAAGACUAAAAUGCAGCUGUUUACAGCGUAAGUAGGAGGCCGUCCCGUGCAGUGCAAAAUCAACAGAGAGGAGACAGUCCUAUGCCUUCGAGAGACAGUCUGCUGAUACUGUCAUGAUGUCUAGUGACAGGCCAGAGAUCAAAACCCAACACCCUCAUUUACCUGACAGUGAUUUGGCCAAUCCCUUAACAUCUCUAAGAGCUUCAUUUUUCUACAAAAUUGAGACAAUAGUAUUUGUUUCAUAGUGUUACUGUCAGGGUUAAAUGUUAUACAUUAAGCAUUUAAUAUAUGCUGCUUGUUUAUCUAAAUAUUCAUGGUCAGGCACUAACUUCUUAUGUGACUCUGAGCAAUGCAUUCAUCUCUGUACCUGUUUCCUCAUCCAUAAAUUGGGAGUUGAACAAGG
rnacentral:lncRNA from 1 species